rnacentral:rRNA from 1 species
GGACGAACGCUGGCGGCGUGCCUAAUACAUGCAAGUCGAACGGUCUUUCUAUGGAAGCUUGCUUCCACUGAGAAGAUAGUGGCGAACGGGUGAGUAACACGUGGGUAACCUGCCCAUAAGAGGGGGAUAACAUCCGGAAACGGGUGCUAAUACCGCAUAGUUUUCUUGAUCGCAUGAUUGAGAAAGGAAAGACGGCCUUUGUGCUGUCGCUUAUGGAUGGACCCGCGGCGUAUUAGUUAGUUGGUGAGGUAACGGCUCACCAAGACGAUGAUACGUAGCCGACCUGAGAGGGUGAUCGGCCACAUUGGGACUGAGACACGGCCCAAACUCCUACGGGAGGCAGCAGUAGGGAAUCUUCCGCAAUGGACGAAAGUCUGACGGAGCAACGCCGCGUGAGUGAAGAAAGGUUUUCGGAUCGUAAAACUCUGUUGUCAGAGAAGAACAAGUUGGAGAGUAACUGCUCCAGCCUUGACGGUAUCUGACCAGAAAGCCACGGCUAACUACGUGCCAGCCGCGGC